GUGGGUAUAGCUCAGGUGGUAGAGCACUGGAUUGUGGCUCCAGUUGCCGCGGGUUCGAGUCCCGUUACUCACC
rnacentral:tRNA from 1 species